GAUGAACGCUGGCGGCAGGCCUAACACAUGCAAGUCGAGGGGUAACUAGAGUGAUAGCAAUAUUACUUUGGCUAGACCGGCGCACGGGUGCGUAACACGUAUGCAACCUACCUUAUACUGGGGAAUAACUUCGAGAAAUCGGCGCUAAUACCCCAUAACAUUGCGAAGAGGCAUCUCUUUGCAAUUAAAGCUCCGGCGGUAUAAGAUGGGCAUGCGUCCAAUUAGCUAGUUGGUGAGGUAACGGCUCACCAAGGCUACGAUUGGUAGGGGUUCUUAGAAGAUGAUCCCCCAAACUGGUACUGAGACACGGACCAGACUCCUACGGGAGGCAGCAGAGAGGAAUAUUGCGCAAUGGACGAAAGUCUGACGCAGCCAUGCCGCGUGCAGGAUGACGGCCCUAUGGGUUGUAAACUGCUUUUGUACGGGAAUAAACCCUUCUACGUGUAGGAGGCUGAAGGUACCGUAAGAAUAAGCACCGGCUAACUCCGUGCCAGCAGCCGCCGUAACAC
rnacentral:rRNA from 1 species